GAACUCUAAAGGAUGCAGAACAGAACAAAUGCAGGAGAGGUGCUCCCCGAGGCUAAGCCUCAGGUCUCAGCGGGGAGACUGUGGCUGAGCCACUGGAUGGUUUGAAAGUUCAUGGAGGUCACAGUGGAGGCUGGGAAGCCCUCUGGGUGCCAACAGAAGCCGCUGGGAGUUGCCUCAGGAGCACUGGACUUGCCGGGAUCACUGGAGAGAAUCUCCGCUGGGAAGCUUGUUGGGGAGCUGCCCCCAGGUGCUGCUGACACUCCAGAGGAAGCCAAUGGCCAUUCACAUACCGGGGUUGGUUAAAGCAGAGCCCAUUUGUGGUGACCCCAGGAAACCCUGGAUAAAGGUGCCCUUGUGCUACAGCCUGGCUGAAGCAACGUCCAGAAGAAGGGCCUGCGCCGGGCUGAAAACCUGGGC
rnacentral:lncRNA from 1 species